rfam:Heterocephalus glaber contig79986, whole genome shotgun sequence.
GGGGAUGUAGCUCAGUGGUACAGCAUGUGUUCAGCACAUUUGAGGCCCUGGGUUCAAGUCCCAGAAUCCCCA